GAGGAUAUAGCUCAAGUGGUAGAGCACAUGCUUAGCAUGCAUGAGGCCCUGGGUUCAAUCCCCAGUACCUCCU
rnacentral:tRNA from 1 species